GACCAAACUGCGGUAAGAAAACACAGAUUUUCAGGUUGCCCCAGCUUUCUAACUGUGGCAUCUGUGUUCUUCCUACUCAGCUACACUCAUGUAACGCCUUACUUGAAUACCUAAUUCUCCUUGUGCAAAAAGGAGUGGAAACAUGAUUGUGGACUUAUCUAAUCGCUUAGAUGGCUGGAAUUCAGUGCUGUACGCUUCAUACGGGUUUCAUUUUUGCAUAUGACAACACUGCCAGUUACUCUCAUAAAAUACAUGAAAAAAAAUCUGUACUAAAAUGAGUUUUUCUGCAUGCUAAAUGUAGAAAGACUCAGGUUUCUAAAGAAACUGUUCCUUGGUUAUUUAUUGCACUAUUCUGGUUAUGAAAAAUGGAAACAUCUUGUUCUACCCAUCAACAUAUUGUUCUAGUUCUAACACCGUUAUAAAUAGUGGUUGUAUUUUUAUUUGGCGUGGCAAUCAGUUCUAGGACUUCAUCCUAUAAAUAUAUGCUCAGCUCAUCUGACAGAAAAUUUCUGCAUCAAAACUCAGAAACACAGUUCCAUUGCUAAGGUGACACUCAAAAGUGGUGUGUGCUUCUCUUCCCUUCUCUCUUUACAGUCAUUUUUAUUGUACUAUAUGAUCUGAGAUGAUCCAUUGUCUGCAUUUUUUAUUCAUCACGAUUUAUGAAGCGUGCUCAGGAAAGGCAAUUAUGCAUACCAGACAGCUGAAGCAAGAAGAAUUUCCCCUUACACAUAUUUCAAACUAAAAAUCCCCAAAUGAUCUAUUUAUAUUCUAAAAAACAUGAGGGAGUGGAAGGAGUCAUGAUACAUACGUUAGGGUUCUUUGCAAGCACCUGUGUAGGAAAACUUGCCUGGCUUGAAACAUGAGUAUUUCAAACUGGAAGAAGAAGCAGAUAAAACCUACGUGGUCAUGAAUAUUUUUUAAAAAGGUGAAUAUUUUGUCCUUUUUUUUUCCCCUCAAAGACAGGGGAAAAAAAUCUUCUAAGUUCUCCCCCAAAAAGAACUCCCUUCAAAGCUGAGACAAGUUUUUGACAGAAUGACUUACAGAUGUUUUAUAGCUUACAGGCAAGCAAUACCCUAACAAAUAUGAAUACAUUCAUCUUGUCAAAAAACAGUAGAGACAUGACAGGGUAGAAUUUUCAUUAAAUGUGCUCCUUCAUUUGAGAAAAUCUGGUGCAAUUUAUAACUAGUGAUCUUCCAAAGAUAAAGGAAGGUACGGCCUCUUGUUUUCAUUGGUGGUAUUGUAUGCAAUUUCAACUGUAAUGAUGAGCAAUCACAGCAAUUGCCCCUCCAGGCCAGAAAGAAGUCAGAUCUAUUUUAGUUUGAUGACAGGAUUAUAUUUACUGGCCUGGUGUUACAGGAAUUGCUAAAUAUUCAGUAAAACCUGUUCAUACAAGUAAAGUGUAACACAGAUGUUGCACGGUAUUUUAAGCUGCAUAUAUACACUAGAUUUUCUGCUAUUCUCUAAUAGUUCUUGAACAGCAAUGAGUAAAUAUUUAUUACACCUCACAGUAGCUUCAUACAGUGAAUACUCCAGAAAUUUCAUCCUUUUAUACUGUCCUAAUAUAUCUAAACACCCACAUUUGGAAAUGCCCAACAUCAAUUUCAUUUUGAAAUGAGAACCAGUAAAUCACCAUCUGUUGACCAUAGCUGAAAUAUAAAUUCAGCACAUUUUUAGACUGUUUUUUAAGAUUUCCCUCGAGAUAACUAAUAUAUUAGUUUCGUGAAAGUGUUGUUCCAGAUCCGCCUUGUAGAUUAAUAAAAGCCCUAUGAUCAAAGUUUGCCUGAUGGAAUGUUAGAUUCAAGCAUCCAUCCUGGGAAGCUGACGCCCGACUUUCAUUACAUUAGAAAGUAAAUUAUUUAGUUAGGGAGGAGAGCUGAUAGGGAAAACAUACAUCACCUGUUUGAGCACGUUUGAGAAGCUUGCAAAGAAAUGAUAAUAACAAAAAGAAGCAUUACAUAAACCUAGGAUAUUAUCAGCUCCUUUGCAGCUUCAGGUUUUCAAAAGUGUUCUGAAAGGGCAGUGAUGGAGUACAAGACAUUUUAUGAGUACGUUUUAAUUCACCAGAUUUAAACACUAGUAUAUGUCUGAUUUUUUUCAGCAUUUUAAUGAGAUUUGUGUUUUAAGUGGUUGAUAAUGUAAGAAAAACUGUACUGUGGAUGGUUAUGGCACUCAUUUUGUAUUUUGCUGUCAGAGUAAGGGUAAAGUAAUUAUUUUGCGAAUCUGUUUGAAUCAUAGAAAUAUAGAAUGACCUGGGUUGAAAAGGACCUCAAUGAUCAUCCAGUUUCAACCCCCUGCUAUGUUCAGGGCUGCCAACCACCAGACCAGGCUGCCCAGAGCCACAUCCAGCCUGGCCUUGAAUGCCUCCAGGGAUGGGGCAUCCACAGCCUCCUUGGGCAACCUGUGCCAGUGCAUCUCCACCCUCUGAGUGGAAAUCUUCCUCCUAAUAUCUAACCUAAACCUCCCCUGUCUCAGCUUAAGACCAUUCCCCCUUGUCCUAUCACUGUCCACCCUCGUAAACAGCCAUUCCCCCUCCUGUUUAUAAGCUCCCUUCAAGUACUGGAAGGCCACAAUGAGGUCUCCCUGGAGCCUUCUCUUCUCCAAGCUAAACAAGCCCAGUUCCCUCAACCUUUCCUCAUAGGAGAGGUGCUCCAGCCCUCUGAUCAUCUUAGUGCCCUCCUCUGGACACACUCCAAGAGCUCCACAUCCUUCCUGUGCUGCCCCAGGCCUGGACUCAGUGCUGCAGCUGGGGCCUCGCAAAGCUGAGUAGAGGGGGACAAUCACCUCCCUCUCCUGCUGGCCACCCCUUUUUUAAUGCAGCCCAGAACACAGUUGGCCUUCAGGGCUGCAAGGUCACACUGCUGGCUCAUGUCCAGCUCCUUGUCCAGCAGGACCCCCAAGUCCUUCUCCGCAGGGCUGCUCAAGGACUUCAAAGGAAGUCAAUUAAAGGCAGUACAGAUCAUGCAGAUAUGUGCAGGACAACCAAGGAACCCAGCCAGCAUGGGUUCAUGAGGUCGUGCCUGACCAACCUCAUCUCCUAUGGCUAAGUGACCCAUCUGGUGGAUGAGGGAACAGUCACAAGGGGUGUUUCCCAGGGGUUGGUACUGGGACCAGUCUUGUUUAAUUGAUAAUCUGGAUGAGGGGACUGAGAGCACACUCAGUAAGUUAGCAGCACGAAGUGUGCAGGAAGUGUCAAUCUGCCUGGGAUUAAGAAUCUCUGCCCUACAGAGAGAUGUGGACAGGCUGGAUUGAUGGGCUGAGGCCAAUUGUAUGAGGCACAAUGAGAACAAGUGCCAGGUCAUGCACUCUAGUCACAAGAACCCCGUGCAACCCUACACUCUUGGGGUAGAGUGGCUAGAAAGCUGCAUGGUGGGCAAGGAUCUGGGGUUGUUAGCUGACAGCUGGCUGAACAUGAGCCAGCAGUGUGCCCACGUGGUCAAGAAGGCCAAUGGCAUCCUGGCUUGUAUGAGCAAUAGUGCAGCCAGCAGGAGUGGGGGGGGGAGGGGAUCGUCCCUCUAUUCUCAGCUCUGGUGAGGCCGCACCUCGAGUACUGGUUCAGUUUGGGGCCCCUCACUACAGGAAAGGCAUUGAAGUGCCAGAGCAUGUUCAGAGAAGGGCUGUGAAGGGUCUGGAGCGCAAGUCUUACAGGGAAGCUGAAGAAACUUGGAUUGUUGAGCCUGAAGAAGAGGAGGUUCAGGGGAACCUUAUCGCUACCUGUAGCUGCCUGAAUGGAGGUUGAGGUGAGAUGGUCUCUUCUUCCACAUAACAGUGACAGGAUAAGAGGUAAUGGCUUUAAGCUGCACCAUGGGAGGUUCAGGUUGGAUAUUAAGAAAAAUUACUUCUCAGAAAGAGUUGUGAGGGUUGAAACAGGCUGCCCAGGGAUGUGAUGGAGUCACCGCCCCUGGAGGUGUUCAAGAAACAUGGAGAUGCGGCACUGAGGGACGUGGUUUAGUGGGCGUGGUGGUGACAGGUUGAUAUUUGGACUAGAUCAUCUUAGAGGUAAAUACUGGGCAAUACUUAAAUGUGAGUACUACAGAUGUAAGGUGCAGAAUAAUUCGAAGUAUUUCUUAUGAAAUAGUAUCUAAAUUCUAAUUAUCUACAAGAAAGGAAAUGUUUCUGUGAAAAAAAUGAGAAGGACCUUCCCAAAGAUCCAAAAAACAUGAUUGAUGAGUUGUUUUUUUUUUUUUUUCUGAGUAUUAGCAGUACCAUUUAUGUAGUGAAUCAUUCAUUGAAAUGAAGACAGGGGCUAUUACUACUUACUCUGCUCCAAGAUAGUACUUUUCACUCAGCACUGUUCCAUUCUAGCGACAGAAACACAUACUAGCAAUUGGAUCUUGUGUUUCAAAAUGAACAAAUCCACAGGAAAUUUGCCUCUUCCCUGUAAAACUUAAUAUAAUCAACUCAGACAGGCCAUCUGUCGGCUGAAGAUCCCAAGAAAGUCUCUUCUAGGGAGAGUUACUGCCUUAUUUCUGUUCACGCACCAAAGUGAAAUGAGAUCUUUGUGAAGUCCUACAUGAACUCACAGCUGUAUACUCUGUUGCCAAAGUCAACCAUAUACUUGAAUUUGAUGAGCAGUAGGUGCUCUCUCCUUUCCAGCCACAAGACAAAUUACUGCAAAAAAUUAUUCUGCUCAUAAGUGAACAUCUUCCUUUUCUAGGAACUGUGGCCUACUGUCAAAUGUGUUUGUUACAGUGGUUUAAUAUAAAUUACACCCAGCUUUGAUGACACACACUAAUGUGUAAUAGCUGCCAAACCGGAUCUGUUAAGUAGGUUACUAGAUGCAGUUGACAUAGUUCCUUGAUGGAUUAUCUUGUUAAGGAAGCCAUUAUAAAAUCAAAUGGGGAGUACAAGCAAUAUCACAUAGAAAGGUCAGUUUCUAAUCCCAUUAGAGUAAAUGGCAUAGAAUUUUUGCUAAGUGCAUUUAUAUUCGUAAAAAAAAAAUAAGGUCUGCAAAGUUACAUGCUCCAAUGAAAACUUUGAGUGAAAAGAAUUUAAAUAGAGAAGUGAAAAAAGUGGCAUCGAUAUCUUCACAUUUGAGAUGCAGGGCAUCUUCUGGCCACACAGCAUCCUAUCUCCAAUGAUUUAGUACCUUGUGAAGUCGUCCCCCAAACCAAUUCCCUUGAAUCACUCCAUCAUUUGUCAACAGUAGACGGCACCCUAAAGAAGUAAGAAGUUACAUACAAGCUAAUAAAGUAUUAAAAUUUCUUUCUGUAGCUCAGCAGUUUCACUAGAAAUAUUUUCUGAUAAAAUAAAUACAUUCUGUUUGAGUGCAAAGACUUAAAGUGGGCUGCCUUAGAGAGAAGACUGAACAAAUUAGUACUGCCUUUCACAUAAGAAAGACUGUAAUUCAAUUGAUUCAAAAUGUGUAAAGUUUUUUCUCUUGCUUGAAAAAAUAAUUAGUUCAUGAAGAAAAAUUCUCCACUGACCGCUGAAACAAACUUUCAUUUGAAAUUAUGAGCAAAGAAACAAAUCCUGAACGGUAGGCUGUCAAAUUACAUUCUGACUUCAGAAGAACAUUCCUGGCAUAGGGCUCACAAAUACUUGCUCUGCUAGCACCUCAAGACCUAACAGCCAUGGCAACUCCCCUGGCAUUUCACUAUUCCCAAGCAGAAUUCACUCAUAGAAGAGAAACUAUCUCCUGCGCUUCCAGCUGGGUUAGCACCUAGUAGGGGUCCUCUCCAUUCUUUGAAUGAAUGUCACAUGCUUAUAAUACAUCUAUAGCAACACAUUUGUAUAAUAAUGUACAUAUGUUUAUAUUCUUCCUGUAUCAUCAAAUUAAUACAUGUUUGGAUUCAGCUUUGCAUUUUAAUUUAAUAUGAAAUUACACAUAAUUACUUUCUGCAGUACUGAUGAAAGCCUCUGUCAAGAUCUGGCUCUUCAAACUGGCCUGAGCACCUUCUGAAACAUAUCUUGUGAAUUAGCAAACUUGGGUCUUCUUUCAAAGAGAAUUCUAUGACUGGCACAGCUUUUUGAUCACUGUUUCAAAGUCUCGGUCUUGAAAUCAAGUCAUAAUGACAUUAGUAAAUCUAGGGUGGGUUUUUCCAGUCCUAUAUGUCUUCUUCACUCAAGGACUUUGAAACUUACUAAAUAAAAGACAAUAACUUAGCUGAAACUAUCUAUCUCUUGGCUUAACCAGAGCAUGUAUUCUUUGCUUCUGUGUCUGAUCAUGACAGCACUAACUAUAUUUUAAAGAUUUAUUUUUAAAUAUAUUUCUAACAUUUUGCACUUGGUGAAUAUAAAGGCUAAUAUGCUUUAUGAUGAGAUGGAUUAACAAAUCAAAAUUAAAUAAAGUCUCUAGUUCAUCUGACUAAUUUUAAAAUCUCUAUUACAGUCUGAAUACAGAAGUGAUCUAUCAGGUCUUCAUGUUGUUGACAAAGAAGGUCAAAGUAGUGUGUAAGUUGCUACAAUAUUUAACUGAUGAUGAGAUGAACUGUGCUAUCCAGAAAUAAAGGGACUGAUGAGGUGAUCUGAUAACCUCUGAUUUAUGCAAAAUGAGAUUCUGAGUUGGAACCGAAGAGAUGGACAUGGUGUGAAAAUAUAAAGGCACAUACAGACAGUUUCGAAAGAGCUGGUGCAGGCAGUUCAAUUUCCCUGCUCUCUGAGCCCUGUCAGGCAGCUGCCCCAGGGUGCUGUUAAGACUUUCCCAGCUGGUGCAUGUUGGGCCCACUCUUCCCUUCUUGCGUCUUAAGGAAAUAAAGCUCUUUCUUCUUAUUCUCCGCUUACAGUCCUGAGAGAAAUUGGUACUACUGCAAGCUCGACCUUUAAUUUGAAACAAGCGAAUAAAGCUCUUACCUCCCCUGCUGGAAACCACUGUUCCUACAGGCUGAGUGCCAGGGAGGGAAGCUUUACCCAACAACAGGGCACUGAAGUGGGCAAGCAGAGGCGUCGGGGCUCGCAGUCCCCAACCCCAGAGCAGGGGGCACAGAGAGGCAUGGAGAGAAUGGAAGGAAUCUCCUCGAGAGCCCCGAGGAGCGGGGUGGAAGGAGAGAGACCAGAGGUGUGCACAUGGGAAUCCUUUCCCAGUGCUUCUAACUGGCCUUAAUGAAGGAAGCACUUUGUAAUGCAGGGGCAUGACUUUCUGCUUCUAGAAAUACCUUUCCAACAUAGUAAGGAGGUAGAAGCAAGCACUGUGUAGAAAGAAAUAGUUCAGAAAGGCAGUGUGGCACUGGGAUAACUUUCCGUAUUCUUAAUGAAGCUUAUUAAGAAUUUUGGAGGAAGUAUUGUGUCUGACAAACGAGAAUCAGAGAAUCGAAUCAAGGUUGGAAAGACUGCCAGGAUCAUCUGCUCAGCCAUCAGCCCAUGCCUGUGACCACUCAAGGCCAUGUCCCUCAGUGUCACAUCCACACGUUCCUUGAAUGCCUUUAAAGACAGUGACUCCAUCACCUCCUUUGACAGCCCGUGACAAUGCCUCAACACUCUUUCUGAGAAUAAUUUUUUCCUUAUAUCCCACCUGAACCUCCUCUAGUGCAACUUAAGGCCAUUAUUUCUUAUCCUAUCACUGUUACCUUCAGAAGAGCAGGAGAGGCCGACUGUUACCUCACCACAACCUCCUUUCAAGCAGGUAUGGGGAGCAAUGAAGUCUCCCCUGAGCCUCCUCUUCUUCAAACUGAACAAUUGCAGCUCCCUCAAUUGCUCUCACAAGUCUUAUGGUGAGUAGAGGGAUAAUCCUGUGAUUUUUCUGUAAAUGUUGAACUUUUAAUAUAGUACAGACACUUUUAAAAGAACCUUCUUUUAAAACAGCUAGAGAUGAAAGGUGGAAGCCCCUGAUUUAAAUUCCAGCUUUCCCUCUUAGAGUAUUUUUCAUGGAUUUGUUGUUUUUGUUUUUGUAUAUGUAAGAAUUACAAUCACAUUUUAUUAAGGAAGCAAAGUGAGUGUGAAGAUAAAAUAAAUGUGUUGACUGAAAUUGUGCCUGAGAGGCAGAUAUUCUGAUGGAUGGUGACAGGCAAUGCCACAGGUCUCAGCAUGGUUGGUCACCAGCAAGGAAUACUCAGCAUGCACGUAUUAGACAAUUAGUAUUUGGGAAUAGUUUUCUGUAGUUAUUUUUCCAUCUUUUGCUACAGAAAUAUUUACACGUAGUAAAAAAUCCUUUUUCCUUGCAUAAAUUUCUUGAUCUGUUGGGUUUUUUCCCCUCACAAAAUGAAAUUUAUUAAGUAUCAUCACUUGUAAGCGUGUUCUUCACUCACCAAAAUGCGUGAUCUCAUUCACAAUAAUGGAAACUCCGUUUAUGCAUCAAAAAAGGAAGAGACCAUAAGUAGUUUAAUUACAGCCCAUUAUUAAUUGUAUUGAGGCAGAAAUGAUGAUAGCUUUUUCUUUUAACCAGCGGCUGUGUUCUUUGUGUUACUACAGAGAUCAUAGAAGGUACAUUCUAUUUCUAUGAGAACCGUAGUUGUAAUAUUUGGACUCCCAGAAGUCCUUAUAUCUCAUGGAUAUUGUGCCACUGAUCAUGCAGAUUUGCCCAUUACUGGAUAUCUUUUCAGCUUGGUUUUUACAUCCAUCAGGAAAUUUCUUGGUUUUCAAUUUAAGCUUUUGCUGUUGUUGUUUUUGCUUAGCUUUAUUACUGGUUUUAAUCAUAUUUCAUAUUUUUCUUUUAUGCACUAUACCGAGGAAGAUUGUAUCCCAAUUAUGCUACCAGUAAAUCUGUAUAUUAUUCUUAUAUUUCUAUUUCAAUCCUUCUGCUUGUUUUCAGAAAAGAUGCACUCCUGCUGUGAUUAGUUUGUGUGAUAUAAACCUCAGCCAUCAGAUGUGACUGCAGUCAGGAUCAGCACCACAUCCAGCUCUAUUUAACGUAGUCUAAGCAGUAGACCUGAUGAUACAUCUUGGGCAAGAAAAGAAGAUUUUGAGCACCGUCCUGCUUUGUGAGUAAGGCUCUACUGUCCCCACCUUGAUGAAAGAUGAACUCCUGGAAACAGCUGCCUAUUGUGAGUGUCCCUUCUGUUCAUGGAAGAGCAGGUUCCCAAGUGGGUGUGUUUUGCAUGUCCUAAUUACGACUGUCUCAAUUUUUCAGAUAAAAUGAAGUCAGUGAAGUGCUUACAAGGUUUUCCUUGUCUCUUACUGGAUGAGAUUGUUCUAGUUAAUAGUUCAUUUAUUCAUGUUUCUUUACUGUCCUGUUGCUCAGUAACAGUUCAAAGACACUAAAGAAAUGGUUUACAAAGACACUUGGAACUGCACGUCAUGUGUGUACCCAAACAAGUUUGGUUGUACAUGUUGUCAUGGUGGAAGCCCAUGGUAAUGACUUGCUUGCAGUUAGGAACAACCUUUAAAAAGUCAUUCUUUUGUUUCACUUUGUGUCAGCUUCUAACAAUGACAAGUACAGCAGGCAUUAGAACAACUUACGGAAUUGUUGGUAGCUGUGGGACAGAAUACACUGAGCAUAUCUCCUGGUGAGAACUGUCUGGAGUUGCUUACUCUGUCUUUGAUUUUGAUUUACCUACCAUAGAUUAGUUCUAUGGCAGAUCUCGAGGACCUUGCAGAAUUACAGAAUGCCUUUGGUUUUAGCAUUAUAUCCACUGCUCAGAACUCACUGACAAGGAACAAGGAAGAGAAGUAACCAACUGCAAGCUCAGACUGCUUACAGUAACGUACUGCUCAGAUGUGCUUCAGAACUGCCCACUGUUCCAUCAACAGACACAGGUUAGGAGUGGGUUGCACACCCUGCUGUCUGUGGUGGAACGCCCGCUGCGGAAUGGCCAGCUACAGAGGGACAGCCCGUGUCAGGACCCUCAAGAGUUCUGAGGUACUGGAAGAAAAUGUAUCUUCAGGCACCGUGAGAAGUUGAUGUUGGCUAGGAAGGGACUCCAGGAAGGAUUUGGAUAUGAUGGUCAUAUCUUAAGAAAUAAUAAAGAAGAUGUUGGUUAGGAUUAAAACCACAUUAGGAGUAGUUCUGCAGAUCUAAACUGGAGAACUGAGUUUUACCCAGUUAUUUUUUUCAGAACAACUGUGGUAAGUUGAGGGAUUUGGGUGUUUUGAUAUAACGGAACUAGUAGGCUCUACAGGAACAGAUCCUUGUGUUCUGAAGUGCACUGACCCUCAGAGAUAAGAGCUGCACUUAGUGCUGUGUUGCUGCUCAAGUUGCUCAGUACAGUGCAGAGCUGGGCGCUUCUUUUGCUGUGCGGUGUUGUAAAACAAGGCUCAUUACAGUAAUAUAAAUUAAACAAUGUUUUUGAUUGUCCCCAGUCUUCUCAAAGUCAUGCAGUCAUGGAUGCGUUGUGGAGAUGAAAGCAGUUGGAACUAUGAUCCACAGGAAACAAAGUUGAGCAUCAAAGUAAAAACAUAAAGAGCUGUCUUAGAAGUAAGCAUAACAGGCUGGAACUCGUUUCUUGUGAGCCACUUGAAAGUUGUUAGAGAAUAUAAAAAUAUUUGUGGGCCAGGUUGACUUCCUUUGCAUAUUUCUGAGAGACCAUCAAUGUGUAUUCUUUAAGCAGCUUUGUGUGCCUGCUAGGAGCCUCAUUAUGUGUUGCAUAUUUUCUACUGUCUCUAGUAAAGGACCCAAACCUGAUUAAGAGUCUGUUUCUGCAAGUACUACCCUGUAAUUGAAAUAGAGUAACCAUAGUAGCAUGCUGUUUCUGAGUUAGUUUCUCAGUAGGAUGGAAGCACUGCAGGUUAGUGGUUUUCAACAUAGUUUUCAACUGAUGGGCAGCUUUGCCAGGUGUUGCAGCAAGUGCUCUCCUCAAAUUUAGACAAGGUACUUGAAGCAUCAUUUUGCAGUACUCGGUAUUCAUGGUGUUUUCAUUCUGGAUGCACAAAAUAGCUACAGAAUGAAAGCUAAAGGUCUAUUUGCAUGAAUUAACUGCUUUCAGCUGAAAAAGACAAGGUGGAUGGAACUAGAUUCCUGAAUCCACAAUCCCUGCAGUGCUGAGCAUUUUUCCAUCUUUCCAACUCAGAGAUCCUUGGGCAACCCCAGCAACUCACUGUUAGGGCAGCACAUGGAGCUGAGACAUACUUAAUGGAGUCAUAGAAUCAUAGAAUUGUGAAUCAUAGAAUGGCUUAGGUUGAAAGGAAUAUGAAAGCCCCUCCAGUUCCAACCCCCCCGCCAUGGGCAGAGCUGCCCCCUCUGCCCCCCUCUGCACCUUCUCAGGCUGCCCAGAGCCCCAUUCUACCUGGCCUUGAGCUCUUCCAGGGAUGGGUCACCCACAGCUGUCUGAGAAGCUGUGCCAGUGCCUCACCACCCUCUGAGUAAAGAAACUUUUCCUCAUAUCUAAUCUAAAUCUCCCCUCUUCUAGUUUAAAACCAUUUCCCUUGUGCUAUCACUAUUUGCCUGUGUAAAAUGUCUCCUCUCCCCCUCGUGUUUAUGUGCUCCGUUCAAAGUACUGGAAGGCCAAAAUGAGGUCUCCCCUGAGCCUUCUCUUCUCCAAGCUAAACAAGCCCAGUUCCCUCAGCCUUUCCUCACAGGAGAGGAGCUCCAGCCCUCUGACCAUCUUAGUGGCCUCCUCUGGACCCAAUCCAACAGCUCCUCAUCCAUUCUGUGCUGGGGGCCCCAGGCCUGGAUGCAGUACUCUAGAUGGAGUCUCCUUGGCUUAGCAUUUGAGCAUUGCUCACCUACAGCUAUCACAAUGGUGUGUUAUCAGUGCACAGAUCCAAAACACAGCACAAUCCUAGCUAGGAAGAAGAAAACAAGCUGUAUGCCGGCUGAAACCAGGAUACUGUUUCGGACUUCCUCCUCAUUUAUCAUCGCCUUAGGAAUAAAACAUCAUUAAUGUGCAUCACAUCAAUAAUGGAACAUCAGACACUAUUUAUUUUUCUGUUCAAGUUGUAGUGAAUAGGCCAAGGUGACAAAUCAAUUUAUUGUGUACAAGAUAAUCUCAUUUAGUAAGAGCACGGAAUUAACAGCGCCAGCUUUUUUCUCGUUUACAACGUGAUGGAAUCAUGGCAAAACAUGAAGAGGAAAAAUAUGAUUUGAACUUGUUGCAUCCUGUCAGUUUAUCCUGUAUUACUUGUGAUAUACUUACAGGAACAUCUAAUGAUUUUACAUUUCUUUUCCAAGGGAUGAGGGAAGUAGAUGUGAUUACGUUUCAUUAAAAUAAUUUCCAUCAGGAGACACUGAGUCUCGGUACUGGGAGGUAACACAUGGUGUAUUUAUCAAUGACUCCUCCAGUUUUCAACCUGCUCCCCAUUUAUAUCACAAACUGUCCCAAAACGCAAGGAAAACCCUGGGAUAAGAAGAUAGCUGGAGCUUUUCAAUAUCUUUCUGUUUAGAGAAAAAUGAUGGUGGAAUCAAGAUCUCCAGUGCUUUCUGGCACCAUGACAGACCAGUGCUUGCUGGUUGAUCACAGCGAUUUUGCCAAAAGAUGCAUCGAAUCAGAUGAUUGCAGUUACACAGUGAAUUGCCAGAAGUUCAAUUGUUUUAAAGAAAUGGAGAGGAUAUGUUACUGAUCUGACUGCCUGAAAUACGUACGGAUGCCUCCCCUUUAAUCCACUGAAGAAAUACAUUAUGAAUUCCCAUAUAUAUUGAAUUUUUUCACAAGUUUAUUAGAAGAUCUCAGUGUUUUGUGUGUUUUGAAGACUAUAUCUGUUCAAUGAAGGGAAACUGGAUCAUGUUCUAAUGUAAAUAUUACUGUACUCCAAAGAUUUUGUGUAACAUAUUCACUCAUAGAGCUGUCAUGUGUCUGCCAAAGCCCAGUGGACUCUGCAAAAUGGCAGCUGUUGCAAGAGGAGAUUUUUUGAACGAGCUGGAAGAAUGCUGGCAGCGUCUGUUCAAAUGUAUAGACAGUGACUUUUGGGUCUUCUUUCUGUCAGAGUUAGUAGAGAACAGCAAGCUGUUUUUUCCCCAGUGUCUGUUUUUCCUCACGUGCCAUUUGGGACACAUUCUGUGAAAAAAGUUGCCAUGGAUGAGAUCCUUCUUGACAUUUGUCACUGAAGAUGCAUCCUCAUGCAUUCCUCCCAGUUAAAUAAUUGAAUAAUAUCCUAAAUGAGAACUUGUUAAACAACUCUGAGUCCCAUCCUGCAAAACCCUUGAAACAGAUUCUUAACCUGGCAAGAUUUUGUAACUUACUGAAGGAAAAAUCCAUGCGCCAUCUUGUGCAGUGAGCUGCAGAGUCAGAUAAAAGGACCUGUGAAUGGCACAACUUCUGUGCCGGUCCCAAUGUGACGCUCAUUUCUGAAGUUCACUCCAGACACAGGUGGUGCUCAUCUUUAAGGAAAUAAGCACAUAUUAAUCACCUUUAUCAUGACUUUUACUGAGACAACUGUUUCACACCACAGGCAAGUCACAUAGGCAAUUAUGCCAUGCACACUGCUCUAUAGCAAUAUGUAGGCUGCAUCCCAUGCCCUUAACAGUCCUUUGCAGUGUGUUUUUAAAUGUACAACUCUUUAUCUAUAGUUUUGAAUUACUCUGAAGGUUAGUACCUUUAUUUAAAGACACAGAAUUUUAUUAGCAUUUGGGAUAACAUAGUAAGAUUUUCAUUUAUUUUUUUUUCCUGUUGGUAUGGUUUUGUUAAUCAAGGUUGUAAUACAACAGUAUAGGAACUUAAAUAAAUGUUAUAGUUAGCUUA